GAUGAAGAACGGAGCGAAAUGCGAUAAGUAAUGUGAAUUGCAGAAUUCAGUGAAUCAUCGAGUCUUUGAACGCACAUUGCGCCCCCUGGUAUUCCGGGGGGCAUGCCUGUCCGAGCGUCAUUGCUGCUCUCAAGCACGGCUUGUGUGUUGGGCCCCGCCCCCCGGCUCCCGGGGGGCGGGCCCGAAAGGCAGCGGCGGCACCGCGUCCGGUCCUCGAGCGUAUGCGGCUUCGUCACCCGCUCCGUAGGCCCGGCCGGCGCCCGCCGGCGACCCCCCUCAAUCUUUUCAGGUUGACCUCGGAUCAGGUAGGGAUACCCGCUGAACUUAAGCAUAUCAAUAAGCGGAGGA
rnacentral:misc_RNA from 1 species